UACGUAGGGUCCGAGCGUUGUCCGGAAUUACUGGGCGUAAAGAGCUCGUAGGUGGUUUGUCGCGUUGUUCGUGAAAACUCACAGCUCAACUGUGGGCGUGCGGGCGAUACGGGCAGACUUGAGUACUGCAGGGGAGACUGGAAUUCCUGGUGUAGCGGUGAAAUGCGUAGAUAUCGAGAGGAACACCUGCGGCGAAGGCGGGUUGCUGGGCUGACACUGACGCUGAUGCGCGAAAGCCAGGGGAGCGAACGGG
rnacentral:rRNA from 1 species